GACGAACGCUGGCGGCGUGCUUAACACAUGCAAGUCGAACGGUGAAGGGAUCAGCUUGCUGGUUCUGGAUGAGUGGCGAACGGGUGAGUAACACGUGAGUAACCUGCCCCCUUCUUCUGGAUAACCGCAUGAAAGUGUGGCUAAUACGGGAUAUUCUGCGCCUGCUGCAUGGUGGGUGUGGGAAAGAUAUUGUUUCGGUGGGGGAUGGGCUCGCGGCCUAUCAGCUUGUUGGUGGGGUGAUGGCCUACCAAGGCGGUGACGGGUAGCCGGCCUGAGAGGGUGGACGGUCACGCUGGGACUGAGACACGGCCCAGACUCCUACGGGAGGCAGCAGUGGGGAAUAUUGCACAAUGGGCGCAAGCCUGAUGCAGCGACGCCGCGUGAGGGAUGGAGGCCUUCGGGUUGUGAACCUCUUUCGCCAGUGAAGCAGGCCUGUCCCUUGUGGGUGGGUUGACGGUAGCUGGAUAAGAAGCGCCGGCUAACUACGUG
rnacentral:rRNA from 1 species